UACGUAGGGGGCAAGCGUUGUCCGGAUUCAUUGGGCGUAAAGAGCGUGUAGGCGGCCAGGUAGGUCGGUUGUGAAAACUGGAGGCUCAACCUUCAGAGGUCGACCGAAACCAUCUGGCUAGAGUCCGGGAGAGGAGAGUGGAAUUCCUGGUGUAGCGGUGAAAUGCGCAGAUAUCAGGAAGAACACCCGUGGCGAAAGCGGCUCUCUGGAACGGUACUGACGCUGAGACGCGAAAGCGUGGGGAGCGAACAGGAUUAGAUACCCUGGUAGUCCACGCCGUAAACGAUGGGCGCUAGGUGUGGGAGGUGUCGACUCCUUCCGUGCCGCAGCUAACGCAUUAAGCGCCCCGCCUGGGGAGUACGGCCGCAAGGCUAAA
rnacentral:rRNA from 1 species